rnacentral:rRNA from 1 species
CGGCGGACGGGUGAGUAACACGUGGGUAACCUACCUAUAAGACUGGGAUAACUUCGGGAAACCGAAGCUAAUACCGGAUAACAUUUGGAACCGCAUGGUUCUAAAGUGAAAGAUGGUUUUGCUAUCACUUAUAGAUGGACCCGCGCCGUAUUAGCUAGUUGGUAAGGUAACGGCUUACCAAGGCGACGAUACGUAGCCGACCUGAGAGGGUGAUCGGCCACACUGGAACUGAGACACGGUCCAGACUCCUACGGGAGGCAGCAGUAGGGAAUCUUCCGCAAUGGGCGAAAGCCUGACGGAGCAACGCCGCGUGAGUGAUGAAGGGUUUCGGCUCGUAAAACUCUGUUAUUAGGGAAGAACAAACGUGUAAGUAACUGUGCACGUCUUGACGGUACCUAAUCAGAAAGCCACGGCUAACUACGUGCCAGCAGCCGCGGUAAUACGUAGGUGGCAAGCGUUAUCCGGAAUUAUUGGGCGUAAAGCGCGCGUAGGCGGUUUCUUAAGUCUGAUGUGAAAGCCCACGGCUCAACCGUGGAGGGUCAUUGGAAACUGGGAAACUUGAGUGCAGAAGAGGAAAGUGGAAUUCCAUGUGUAGCGGUGAAAUGCGCAGAGAUAUGGAGGAACACCAGUGGCGAAGGCGACUUUCUGGUCUGUAACUG